rnacentral:rRNA from 1 species
GGUAGUCCACGCCUAAACGAUGUCGACUUGGAGGUUGUGCCCUUGAGGCGUGGCUUCCGGAGCUAACGCGUUAAGUCGACCGCCUGGGGAGUACGGCCGCAAGGUUAAAACUCAAAUGAAUUGACGGGGGCCCGCACAAGCGGUGGAGCAUGUGGUUUAAUUCGAUGCAACGCGAAGAACCUUACCUACUCUUGACAUCCAGAGAACUUAGCAGAGAUGCUUUGGUGCCUUCGGGAACUCUGAGACAGGUGCUGCAUGGCUGUCGUCAGCUCGUGUUGUGAAAUGUUGGGUUAAGUCCCGCAACGAGCGCAACCCUUAUCCUUUGUUGCCAGCGGUUAGGCCGGGAACUCAAAGGAGACUGCCAGUGAUAAACUGGAGGAAGGUGGGGAUGACGUCAAGUCAUCAUGGCCCUUACGAGUAGGGCUACACACGUGCUACAAUGGCGCAUACAAAGAGAAGCGACCUCGCGAGAGCAAGCGGACCUCAUAAAGUGCGUCGUAGUCCGGAUUGGAGUCUGCAACUCGACUCCAUGAAGUCGGAAUCGCUAGUAAUCGUAGAUCAGAAUGCUACGGUGAAUACGUUCCCGGGCCUUGUACACACCGCCCGUCACACCAUGGGAGUGGGUUGCAAAAGAAGUAGGUAGCUUAACCUUCGGGAGGGCGCUUACCACUUUGUGAUUCAUGACUGGGGUGAAGUCGUAACAAGGUAACCGUAGGGGAACCUGC